UCUAUACUGCCGACAGACAUUGCGAAUGCCAAGCCACGUUGAUAUCUUGAAUGGCACCAAUCAACUUCAUUACAGACAGGCCUGUAGGAUCAGGGUUUGCCUGGACGGUCUGCCUCUCAUCGUGCCCUCUGCUCUUAGUUUCUUACAUGGCAAAUAAUAAGGAAACUAUCUCCUCUGCUUCUUGCCGACAAGACAUUCCCAGUGGCCAAUGCCAAACCGCAUAGAAGUCUUGAGCGACACCAACCAACUUCAUUGCAGUCAGUCAACACAAAAAACCCGACCCAAGUACUUUGAAGUUCUUUCUGGAGGGAACAGUUAGUGUAGGUAAGCUGUGCUGUCCAUAAAACAAGCUAUUACGCUUCAAUGUAGCUGGUGGUUGGA